AAUGGGUAGAUUUGACUUGAUGAUCUUUGUGGGCGAGUUUGCUUCUGGUUCAUGUCAAAUUAACAUCAUGACUAGAUCCAUACUCGUCUGCAGCCAUCAACUCAAUCAACAUUAAUUAAAU
rnacentral:pre_miRNA from 12 species